rnacentral:rRNA from 1 species
GGUAACAGGAAACAGCUUGCUGUUUCGCUGACGAGUGGCGGACGGGUGAGUAAUGUCUGGGAAACUGCCUGAUGGAGGGGGAUAACUACUGGAAACGGUAGCUAAUACCGCAUAACGUCGCAAGACCAAAGAGGGGGACCUUCGGGCCUCUUGCCAUCGGAUGUGCCCAGAUGGGAUUAGCUAGUAGGUGGGGUAACGGCUCACCUAGGCGACGAUCCCUAGCUGGUCUGAGAGGAUGACCAGCCACACUGGAACUGAGACACGGUCCAGACUCCUACGGGAGGCAGCAGUGGGGAAUAUUGCACAAUGGGCGCAAGCCUGAUGCAGCCAUGCCGCGUGUAUGAAGAAGGCCUUCGGGUUGUAAAGUACUUUCAGCGGGGAGGAAGGGAGUAAAGUUAAUACCUUUGCUCAUUGACGUUACCCGCAGAAGAAGCACCGGCUAACUCCGUGCCAGCAGCCGCGGUAAUACGGAGGGUGCAAGCGUUAAUCGGAAUUACUGGGCGUAAAGCGCACGCAGGCGGUUUGUUAAGUCAGAUGUGAAAUCCCCGGGCUCAACCUGGGAACUGCAUCUGAUACUGGCAAGCUUGAGUCUCGUAGAGGGGGGUAGAAUUCCAGGUGUAGCGGUGAAAUGCGUAGAGAUCUGGAGGAAUAC